GACGAACGCUGGCGGCGUGCUUAACACAUGCAAGUCGAACGGAGAGGCCCUGCUUUUGUGGGGUGCUCGAGUGGCGAACGGGUGAGUAACACGUGAGUAACCUGCCCUUGACUUUGGGAUAACUUCAGGAAACUGGGGCUAAUACCGGAUAGGAGCUCCUGCUGCAUGGUGGGGGUUGGAAAGUUUCGGCGGUUGGGGAUGGACUCGCGGCUUAUCAGCUUGUUGGUGGGGUAGUGGCUUACCAAGGCUUUGACGGGUAGCCGGCCUGAGAGGGUGACCGGCCACAUUGGGACUGAGAUACGGCCCAGACUCCUACGGGAGGCAGCAGUGGAGAAUAUUGCACAAUGGGCGGAAGCCUGAUGCAGCAACGCCGCGUGCGGGAUGACGGCCUUCGGGUUGUAAACCGCUUUCGCCUGUGACGAAGCGUGAGUGACGGUAAUGGGUAAAGAAGCACCGGCUAACUACGUG
rnacentral:rRNA from 1 species